rnacentral:rRNA from 1 species
CAGUAGCCGCGGUAAGACGGAGGAUGCAAGCGUUAUCCGGAAUGAUUGGGCGUAAAGCGUCUGUAGGUGGUUUAUUAAGUCUGCUGUUAAAGCACAGGGCUUAACCCUGUAUAGGCGGUAGAAACUGGUAGGCUUGAGUAUGGUAGGGGUAGAGGGAAUUCCCGAUGUAGUGGUGAAAUGCGUUGAUAUCGGGAAGAACACCAAAGGCGAAAGCACUCUGCUGGGCCAAUACUGACACUAAGAGACGAAAGCUAGGGGAGCAAAUGGGAUUAGAUACCCCCGUAGCCCUGUCUCUUAUACA